rnacentral:rRNA from 1 species
GUAGGUGGCAAGCGUUGUCCGGAAUUAUUGGGCGUAAAGCGCGCGCAGGCGGUCCUUUAAGUCUGAUGUGAAAGCCCACGGCUCAACCGUGGAGGGUCAUUGGAAACUGGGGGACUUGAGUACAGAAGAGGAAAGCGGAAUUCCACGUGUAGCGGUGAAAUGCGUAGAGAUGUGGAGGAACACCAGUGGCGAAGGCGGCUUUCUGGUCUGUAACUGACGCUGAGGCGCGAAAGCGUGGGGAGCAAACAGGGAUUAGAUACCCUGGUAGUCCAGCCGUAAACGAUGAGUGCUAAGUGUUAGGGGGGUUUCCGCCCCCUUAGUGCUGCAGCUAACGCAUUAAGCACUCCGCCUGGGGAUACGGCCGCAAGGCUG